ensembl:lncRNA
CUGUCCUUUUACUUUGUGUACAUAUGUGAGCGAGUUAUGCCCGAGUAUGAUCCACUCAACUUUUCCUAUAAAAGAGAAGUUAAUAUAAGUUUAAGGAUCUAAUGUUCUCUGUAUGUAAUGUUAAUCAGCUUUUUUUGAGGAGUGUUUUUAAGUCAGUGUUUUAGUUCUCAAAUUGAAGGUGUAGGCUCAUAUUGAUUUAAAUUUUUCUAUUAGCUUGCUUACAGAGAUGUCUCGACUGAAUUGUCGAUUAUAGUGUUUCCAUUAGAAAUUUGGCUCACCAGUCGCCACUGACCAAUCAGGAUCAAGUAUUAGGCUACAUUCAGGAUAGGGCUCUUUGUCUUUGCCAAGUGGCACGCGUCGGGGGCUGGUUACCGCAGGAACAUGCUGGCACUCUGCCAUUCCCAAGCCACCGCCAACUUCCCAGCGGCAUACGGCGACGCAGAGAUCCUGGCACUCUGCCGAAGCAACUUCCUGUCAGUGUACACUUGUUCCCUAUGCCAUUUGCAAUGCCCUUCGGACUGAGUGGAUGCACUUCCUGCGAUUUAAAAAGAUGACCAGAUAUGAGAAGUUUGCUUUAGUAAGUCGCUGCUGGGGGAACAGAACAUAUCAAAUUCUAUGCUGUGAUUCAGCUGCUGUCCCGUUGAUGCUGCACUCACUGUCAAACAGUGACCUCCAGAGGACAGUUAGAAAACUGCAGCCUGAGCCAGUUGGGAGUCAACUCUGUUGCUGCAAACUCAUUAUUUGAGACAUAAGCAUUAAACUACUGCCCUGUGACUGUGGGUAUAAGUAUGCUUUUUAUGUCCUAGAACACAAGAAGUUUUCUUCAGAGAUGCUAUACAAGGUCCCAUCAUCAGCUCCACUGAAAGCCAAAGAAUGAGCUUCAUGAUUGAAAACUAAAAAAAAAAAACACAAGGAAUGUUUCCAAUGUUAGAAUAAGAAUAAACAUUUACAUCAUGUGACA